rnacentral:rRNA from 1 species
GAUGAACGCUGGCGGCGUGCCUAAUACAUGCAAGUCGAGCGAACGGACGAUAAGCUUGCUUCUCUGAUGUUAGCGGCGGACGGGUGAGUAACACGUGGAUAACCUACCUAUAAGACUGGGAUAACUUCGGGAAACCGGAGCUAAUACCGGAUAAUAUUUUGAACCGCAUGGUUCAAAAGUGAAAGACGGUCUUGCUGUCACUUAUAGAUGGAUCCGCGCUGCAUUAGCUAGUUGGUAAGGUAACGGCUUACCAAGGCAACGAUGCAUAGCCGACCUGAGAGGGUGAUCGGCCACACUGGAACUGAGACACGGUCCAGACUCCUACGGGAGGCAGUAGUAGGGAAUCUUCCGCAAUGGGCGAAAGCCUGACGGAGCAACGCCGCGUGAGUGAUGAAGGUCUUCGGAUCGUAAAACUCUGUUAUUAGGGAAGAACAUACGUGUAAGUAACUGUGCACAUCUUGACGGUACCUAAUCAGAAAGCCACGGCUAACUACGUG